AUGGGACCCAUGGGGAGAUGGAGAGAAGUAUGGCCUGCCUGCUUCACGGCAGUGAGCAGUGGCAGCGGGCAUCAAACACGCAGGACAUUUAUGCGCCCUAAUAAAACAGCAGCUGUAAUUUUCUCUCUGUUCCUUGGCAGAACCUUGGGGACCAGUGUGCCCUCUGAGUCACCUCUGGAAGGAAUGAUUCUCCCAGCAUUCCUCUUUGGAGAUCCAGGGAGCCCAAGCCGCUGGGAAGCCUGGCUGAGUCAUGGUGCUUGCGGGGUUGGGACCCCAGGGAGCCGCCUGGUCCCAUGCGAAGACAGAGUGAGAAGGUGGGGUAGAAACCUGGAAGCGGCCCUCCCCAGACGCUGCUGGCGCCCUGAUCUCAGCCCCUGGCCUGCAGAAUGGAGAGAAGUAGACCUCUGUUGUUUACGGAUCACCCAAUCUCUGGAGCUUGGUUAUAGCAGCCCAAACGGAUAAAGACAACGACAAUGAGAGAGGAAAAUAAAUCUCAGGACCCCAAAUCACUAAGCCAGAGGGAAAAAUCAAGCUGGGAACUCUGUCAGGCAAUCCUGCCUCCUGUUUAUUCCUAACUAAGACAGCUACAAAGAUAAAAAAGCUACACACCUCCCCCACAAUGUGUCCACAGGGAAUUCCCUAUGGACCUCAAGAUCUUUACUAUGAAACAGUUCUGUUGAAUUUCACCCUGGCAAUGUAAACCGAUAGCUUAUCUUCACAGGCACAGGACAGAAAGUCAUCCCUCUGCUCGCCUGAGACAGAUGCGUAUCUGAUUGCCUUCUGAUGUGAUUUGGCUCUGCGUCCCUACCCAAAUACCAUCUCAUAUGGUAACCCCCAUGCUUUGGGGGAGGGGCCUGCUGGGAGAUGACUGGAACAUGGGGUGGAUUUCUCCCUCACUGCCCUCGUGAGACUGAGGGAGUUCUCAUGAGAGCUGAUGGUUUUCAAGGGUGCACUUCCCCUGCUCCACCCUCCUGCCACCAUGUAAGGCCUGCCUGCUUCCCCUUCUGCAUGCUGGUAAGUUUCCUGAGGCCUCCCAAGCCAUGAAAAACUGUGAGCCAAUAAAACCUCUUUUCUGCAU
rnacentral:lncRNA from 1 species